rfam:Haemonchus contortus, ISE/inbred ISE, WGS project CAVP01000000 data, contig: Hcontortus_38750
GGCCCAAAUUUGAAAUAGAGUGGAGUAGGAGGAUCAUCUGACCCUACUAAACUACACUACUUCGAGUUUGUGCCC